GGGCUUGUAGCUCAGUUGGUUAGAGCGUCUGCUCGACACGCAGAAGGUCAGCCGUUCGAUUCGGCUCAAGCCCACCA
rnacentral:tRNA from 3 species